CAGAGGCUCCCAUGAGGCCACCACUAGCCUCCCAGGCCCCUGUGAAGUCGCACCUUUCAGCAGAUCCUUGCCAGAGCGGCCCACAGAUAACACAUCUGGGCUCCCUGGAGGGACGUGGUGGGUGGGCACGUGGUCAUGUGGACCCAGAGCCACUUCCUGUUGUCUUGGAUGAGUGCCGUCCUGGGUCCUGCUGGCCCUGAAGGAGGCCCCUCAGCCUGCCUGCUGGAGCAUCUGUCCUGCCUUACAAAUACAUGCUUACACGCACACACAUGUGCACACACAUGUACACAUGCAGCAGGUUCUCACAAACACACAGGAGUGCCAGCACACAUGUGAACACAUGUAUGUGCACCACACCACACAGUGUACACGCACUCAUGAGUGCACACGUAGACCCACAUGCAACACACAUGCUCAUAUAUGUACACACGCACAUACGUACAUGCAGCAUACGUGCUCAUCCCACACAUGUGUGCCACAUUUACACAGUGUACAUGCACACACAUGCUCAUACAGGCACACAGAUGCCUGCACACACAUAUACACAGCGUAUGUAUUCUCAAAUAGACAGGAGUGCAAGCACACACGUGGACACAUGUAUGUGCACUGCACUGCACAGUGUGCACACACACAGAGACCUACAUGCAACACACAUGCACACACAGAGAGAGACACACGUGUGGCGCAUGCACACACACACACAGGGGCCUGGCUGCCUUCCAUUCCCAGGUCAGUGCUUGCUGUCACUGACAGGGCACUUUCCAGGAUUUUGACCAGUUCCUGCUCAAUACGGGCCCUUCCUCUCUCUUUCUGUGCCCCUCGCUCCCGCCACUGUGCAGGCAAGACCUGGCUGUCUGCCCUGGACUCAGUGGACUCAGAAGGACAGGGUGUCCAGGAGCCAAGGUGGCUGCAUGAAAAGGGGGCCAUGGGGCAGCCGCCUGGGGUCCAUUGGCAGGCCCAUGUGGGCAGGACAAGACAGGAGCCCAGGACGGUGAUGCCGGGUCCUACCUCAGUGUCGCCUGGGGUCCAUCGGCAGGCCCAUGUGGGCAGGACAAGACAGGAGCCCAGGACGGUGAUGCCAGGUCCUACCUCAGUGUCGCCUCUGCCUCCACAGGCAGCUGGGGUGACAAGAACCCAUUCCCACCACUUCAGCC
ensembl:lncRNA